UCGAGCGUCAUUUAUACCAAUCAAGCUUACGCUUGGUCUUGGGGCAUGCGGGUUCCGCAGCCUCUAAAACCAGUGGCGGUGCUGCUGAGCUCUGAGCGUAGUAAUACUCCUCGCUAUAGGGUCUCGGUGGUGGCUUGCCAGCAACCCCCCAUUUUUUCUAGGUUGACCUCGGAUCAGGUAGGGAUACCCGCUGAACUUAA
rnacentral:misc_RNA from 1 species